UGCAGCCAGGUGAUGCGUCGGUACAGGGUGAGGAUGUGGCACAGCGUGGAGUCGGCCGUCUCCUCCACCGACGCUGCCGGCAUGUUGCACACGGCUAUACCUGUCGGAGCAGAAAGCAGAAAGGUCUGCAGCUGUGCUGAAUGAUGGCCAGGAGGCGGCGAGCAGCAUGGCGCCCCCUGCUGACUAACUGCAUCUUUACGUCUCGUUUUCUUCAGGCUGUUGUACAGAUUAAGAUGUGGAGUUGGUUAGACGUUACCUUCUCGUGGAUCUCCUGCGUGGACUGAGCGUCGCAGAACGCCACGGUUGCG